CAGUAGCCGCGGUAAUACGUAGGGUGCGAGCGUUAAUCGGAAUUACUGGGCGUAAAGCGUGCGCAGGCGGUUGUGUAAGACAGGUGUGAAAUCCCCGGGCUUAACCUGGGAACUGCGCUUGUGACUGCACAGCUAGAGUAUGGCAGAGGGGGGUGGAAUUCCACGUGUAGCAGUGAAAUGCGUAGAGAUGUGGAGGAACACCGAUGGCGAAGGCAGCCCCCUGGGCCAAUACUGACGCUCAUGCACGAAAGCGUGGGGAGCAAACAGGAUUAGAUACCCGGGUAGUCCCUGUCUCUUAUAC
rnacentral:rRNA from 1 species